UAAUACGAAGGUGGCAAGCGUUGUUCGGAAUCAUUGGGCUUAAAGCGCGCGUAGGCGGACUGGAAAGUGUCUUGUGAAAACCCUCGGCUUAACCGAGGAAUUGCAUGGCAAACUAUCAGUCUUGAGGCAAGUAGGGGUACAUGGAACUCUUAGUGGAGCGGUGGAAUGCGUAGAUAUUAAGAGGAACGCCAAUGGUGAAGACAGUGUACUGGGCUUGUACUGACGCUGAGGUGCGAAAGCGUGGGGAGCGAACGGGAUUAGAUACCCCGGUAGUCCACGCCGUAAACGAUGUCUACUAGAUCGUGGUAGUUCUGACACUUUCACGGUCGAAGCAAAAGUGAUAAGUAGACCGCCUGGGGAGUACGGUCGCAAGGCUA
rnacentral:rRNA from 1 species